rnacentral:rRNA from 1 species
UACGUAGGGCGCAAGCGUUGUCCGGAAUUAUUGGGCGUAAAGAGCUCGUAGGCGGUGUGUCGCGUCUGCUGUGAAAACCUGGGGCUUAACCCCGGGCCUGCAGUGGGUACGGGCAGACUAGAGUGUGGUAGGGGAGACUGGAAUUCCUGGUGUAGCGGUGAAAUGCGCAGAUAUCAGGAGGAACACCGGUGGCGAAGGCGGGUCUCUGGGCCAUAACUGACGCUGAGGAGCGAAAGCGUGGGGAGCGAACAGG